rnacentral:rRNA from 1 species
AGCAGCCGCGGUAAUUCCAGCUCCAAUAGCGUAUAUUAAAGUUGUUGCAGUUAAAAAGCUCGUAGUUGAAUUUCAGGCCUGGCUGGACGGUCCGCCCUUCGGGUGAGUACUGUCUGUGGUCGGGUCCUACCUUCUGGCGAAGCGUCAUGGCCUUAACCGGCCGUGGCGGGGAACCAGGACUUUUACUGUGAAAAAAUUAGAGUGUUCAAAGCAGGCAAUCGCUUGGAUACAUUAGCAUGGAAUAAUGGAAUAGGACGAUGGUUCUAUUUGUUGGUUUCUAGGACCGUUGUAAUGAUUAAUAGGGAUAGUUGGGGGCAUUAGUAUUCAAUUGUCAGAGGUGAAAUUCUUGGAUUUAUUGAAGACUAACUACUGCGAAAGCAUUUGCCAAGGAUGUUUUCAUUAAUCAAGACGAAAGUUAGGGGAUCGAAGACGAUCAGAUACCGUCGUAGUCUAAACCAUAAACUAUGCCGACUAGGAAUCGGGCGAUGUUGAAAAAUGACGCGCUCGACACCUCAUGGGA